ACAGAACGAGCCAGAGAGGCAGGGAUACCGGGGCCGAGAGAUUACAAGGCCAGAGAGAUAGAUCUGUCUCUGUGCAGCUGUAUGGCGGCGGGACAGCAUAGGGCUUGUCGCAUUCCCACAGGUUAUGAGCCCCGAGUCAUCGCGGUAGGAGGCGACUCUUAGUUUAGGUUAGGUAUCUUUCCUCGGUUCGCUGGUGUUGCGGCGCUCUGGUCUAGGGCAUGGAAGAUACGGGCGCCCAGUCGAGGGAGAUGUGCGCCUUGGAAAUGGCAGCGCUCUGUCCAAGAAUCAUUUCAUCAAGAAGGAUCUCUGGGAUUCAGCGACAAAUCUUUCAUGCGUGUUGUGUGGAUUAGACGCUAUUCCGGUCAGACCUUUCUGGUGUUGGUCUUUAGAGAUCUGUGUCGUAGUUAUGGAACCGUGUUUUGGUUCCUGUUUUAUGGCGGCUGGAAGUCGCAUUCCUUAGUUGCUUGUAACAAGAAUUCAGACACGUUCCGAGCUUAAGUAGUUGUAUAUAGCAUAUGGCAUAGAGCAGCUCGCAAGUUAAUGAAAGGUUAUCCCAGCCGGCCGUCGGUGUGUGUGUGUGUGUGUGUCUCAAAGCAACCCAAACAUACACAAAGACCAGCCUGACAGCUCCAAACGCUGGCUAUGGUCAUACUUUAUCACUAGGACGUGAUUGGAGGCGUUGGGCAGCACCAUUCCGGUCCGGAAUCUGCGAGUCCGGUUCCGGUCCUGUGGCCGAUCGGAAAGGCUGUCGUACCCGGGAGGCUAACCUGUUGGAAUGCGACACGCAGUCUGACAGGGACAGAGACAGUCUGACAGGGAAGCAGCUCCAUAAUACAUUACGUGAAUGUGCUUAAAGUUUAGCUCUACUUACUGACUCUCCAUACUCGUAGUACUUGUGUCGUACGGUGCCGCUCUCUCAGAUUGUCUAUAGCGCACGCUUCACGUCCUUCACCAUUAUUCCGACCGUAUCUCAACACAAAUUUCCUCAGCGUACGAUUGGUGGCAGCGUGGGAAACCUCCGUCCUCGUGAUGGAACAGCACAUCAAAGCGGCAUAGCCCGUAAUGGUUCGCUAUACUGUAUUAUUCCUCUUCUGUCAUUAUCGAGCUGGGCCAUGGGGUUUGUAGCAGGAAGUUUGACUUUACGUCAGGAAAGUCGCAGCGAUAUAUUAAACCACUAUUUGUUGCUACGACUUUCCCAG
rnacentral:lncRNA from 1 species